AGAGUUUGAUCCUGGCUCAGGACGAACGCUGGCGGUAUGCUUAACACAUGCAAGUCGAACGAGAAGUCUUUUAUUGAACCUUCGGGGGAUAUAAGAGACAGACAGUGGCGAACGGGUGAGUAACGCGUGGGCAACCUACCUAUCGGAGCGGGAUAGCCUCGAGAAAUCGGGAGUAAAACCGCAUAACACGGAUAUAUCGCAUGAUGAAUCCGUCAAAACUCCGGUGCCGAUAGAUGGGCCCGCGUCUGAUUAGCUAGUUGGUAAGGUAAGGGCUUACCAAGGCAACGAUCAGUAGCCGGUCUGAGAGGGCGAACGGCCACACUGGAACUGAGACACGGUCCAGACUCCUACGGGAGGCAGCAGUGGGGAAUAUUGCGCAAUGGGGGCAACCCUGACGCAGCAAUACCGCGUGAGUGAAGAAGGUUUUCGGAUCGUAAAGCUCUGUUAUUGGGGAAGAAGCAGUGACGGUACCCAAUGAGGAAGUCCCGGCUAACUACGUGCCAGCAGCCGCGGU
rnacentral:rRNA from 1 species